GAAACUUCCUCUUGCCCUUUACAGAGUAUUGUUUGAAAGGAGUGCCGCCGAAACUGUAACCAAAGGUGGCAUUAUGCUUCCAGAAAAGUCUCAAGGAAAAGUAUUGCAAGAAACGGUCAUGGCUGUGGGAUCAGUCCUGAAAGGAAAGGGUGGAGAGAUUCAACUGGUCUGUGUGAGAGUUGGAGACAAAGUCCCAGAGUAUAGAGGCACCAAAGUAGUUGUAGAAGACAAGGAUUAUUUCUUAUUUAGAGAUGGUGACAUUCUUGGAAAGUAUGUGGACUUA
rnacentral:lncRNA from 1 species